AGAUUGAACGCUGGCGGCAGGCCUAACACAUGCAAGUCGAGCGGUAGAGAGGUGCUUGCAUCUCUUGAGAGCGGCGGACGGGUGAGUAAUGCCUAGGAAUCUGCCUAGUGGUGGGGGAUAACGUUCGGAAACGGACGCUAAUACCGCAUACGUCCUACGGGAGAAAGCGGGGGACCUUCGGGCCUCGCGCCAUUAGAUGAGCCUAGGUCGGAUUAGCUAGUUGGUGAGGUAAUGGCUCACCAAGGCGACGAUCCGUAACUGGUCUGAGAGGAUGAUCAGUCACACUGGAACUGAGACACGGUCCAGACUCCUACGGGAGGCAGCAGUGGGGAAUAUUGGACAAUGGGCGAAAGCCUGAUCCAGCCAUGCCGCGUGUGUGAAGAAGGUCUUCGGAUUGUAAAGCAACUUUAAGUUGGAAGGAAGGUUGUAACUUAAUACGUUGCAACUUUGACGUUACGACAGAAUAAGCACCGGCUAACUUCGCGCCAGCAGCCGA
rnacentral:rRNA from 1 species